rnacentral:rRNA from 1 species
UCUGGCACUUUUGGUGUCCGAGUUGUAAUUUGGAGGGGUAUCUUCGGAGAAUGGCACCGUUCUAUGUUCCUUGGAACAGGACAUCACAGAGGGUGAGAAUCCCGUGCUUGGACGGACCAGCCAUAAUCCACAUGAAGUGCCUCCGACGAGUCGAGUUGUUUGGGAAUGCAGCUCAAAAUGGGUGGUAAAUUUCAUCUAAAGCUAAAUAUUGGCGAGAGACCGAUAGCGCACAAGUAGAGUGAUCGAAAGAUGAAAAGCACUUUGAAAAGAGAGUUAAAAAGUACGUGAAAUUGUUGAAAGGGAAGCGCUUGAGAUCACACUCAGUUAAUGGUGAUCAACUGUUGCUUUUGCUCAGUGCACUUGCCAUUUGAUUGGGCCAGCAUCGGUUCUUGCAGUGGGAAAAACGGCUGGGGAAUGUAGCUCUUUCUCUGGAGGAGUGUUAUAGACCUUAUCAUUCAUACUGCUAGCUAGGACCGAGGACUGCACUCAUUUUAUGGGUUAGGAUGCUGGU